CCUGCUAAGAGGGAUCUUCUAAUGGCAGGGACAAAGGAUCGCGAUCCCGCGAGGGUAAGCUAACUCCAAAAAUCUGUCAUUUGUUCAGAUUGUAGGCUGCAACUCGCCUGCAUGAAGCUGGAAUCGCUAGUAAUCGUCGGUCAGCCAUACAGCAAUGAAUUCAUUUUCGGG